GUUAGUUGAAGAUUGUACUGAUGAUGACGAUGCAAAGGUUGGAAUCUCUGAGUUGAGGAAGGCGGUUUUAGAGGAGUUGAAGAUGCAUAAUUCACUGGUACAGGAGUGGGGAUUGGACCUUGCAAAAGAGAACAAUAUUAAUUCUGCAAUGGUAAAAUACACACAAUUCCUGUUAGCCACAACCUCUGGGAAGAUUGAAGGACUAAAAGGUGCUGGUAAACUCGCAACACCAUUUGAGAAAACAAAAA